rnacentral:rRNA from 1 species
AUUGAACGCUGGCGGCAUGCUUUACACAUGCAAGUCGAACGGUAACAGGGAGCUUGCUCCGCUGACGAGUGGCGAACGGGUGAGUAAUGCGUCGGAACGUGCCGAGUAGUGGGGGAUAACGCAUCGAAAGGUGUGCUAAUACCGCAUACGAACUGAGGUUGAAAGUGGGGGACCUUCGGGCCUCACGCUAUUCGAGCGGCCGACGUCUGAUUAGCUAGUUGGUGAGGUAAAGGCUCACCAAGGCGACGAUCAGUAGCGGGUCGGAGAGGAUGAUCCGCCACACUGGGACUGAGACACGGCCCAGACUCCUACGGGAGGCAGCAGUGGGGAAUUUUGGACAAUGGGCGCAAGCCUGAUCCAGCCAUGCCGCGUGUCUGAAGAAGGCCUUCGGGUUGUAAAGGACUUUUGUCCGGGAGCAAAUGCUGGUGGCUAACAUCCACCGGAGCUGAGAGUACUGGAAGAAUAAGCACCGGCUAACUACGUGCCAGCCGCCGCAGUAAUAC